GGGGGCGACAUGGCUUCGACGGGGAUAUCGAAAUCGCCUGGUGCAUGCCGAGGGGGCAGCUUUCCUCGUUAAUCCAGCAGCAAAACUUUAGUUGCCAACGACGACAACUACGCACUGGCCGCUUAAGGCCUAAGCCCCGAACCGGUUUGUGUCCGUGCUCGCCGGUGUAGGGUCAUCAUCACGGAAUCGCCGCUGACCGUCGCCGGUCGAUCAUCGGCUAACUCUCAACCGGCUGGUUCCGCGGUGCGCUUGGCACGCUGUGUUGCCGCGGGAUGAGAUGAAACAGCGCGCUACGCAUGUAGAACCGGGGACGUAGGAUCUUCGGACGGGGGUUCGAUUCCCCCCGCCUCCACCA
rnacentral:tmRNA from 1 species